rnacentral:rRNA from 1 species
AGUGAACGCUGGCGGUAGGCCUAACACAUGCAAGUCGAACGGCAGCACAGUAAGAGCUUGCUCUUACGGGUGGCGAGUGGCGGACGGGUGAGGAAUACAUCGGAAUCUACUUUUUCGUGGGGGAUAACGUAGGGAAACUUACGCUAAUACCGCAUACGACCUACGGGUGAAAGCAGGGGAUCUUCGGACCUUGCGCGAUUGAAUUAGCCGAUGUCGGAGUAGCUAGUUGGCGGGGUAAAGGCCCACCAAGGCGACGAUCCGUAGCUGGUCUGAGAGGAUGAACAGCCACCGUGGAACUGAGACACGGUCCAGACUCAUACGGGAGGGAGCAGUGGGGAAUAUUGGACAAUGGGCACGAGCCUGAGCCAGCCAUACCGCGUGGGUGAAGAAGGCCUUCGGGUUGUAAAGCCCUUUUUUUGGGAAAGAAAAGCAGCAGGUUGAUACCCCGCUGUUCUGACGGUACCCAAAGAAUAAGCACCGGCUAACUUCGUG